UUAAGAUGAACCUGGCAGGAGAGAGCAAGGUUGAGGCAAGCCAGAAACACAGAAGAAAGAUCCCCUGAAUUGCCCUUCUCAGAUGAGGGCAUACCAACAGACUGUCCAUCCCUAAGAUUCCGAUGGUCGGGCCUCUGUCCCAGUUUUCCCCCAUUGUGAACUAUAGGGAAAGGGACAACAUGCUAUUUUAUGGUCUCUCCAACACUUCUACAGAAAUGAGAUGUACUGCACCUCCCUGGAGUUCACAAGGAAAUUUCCUUCAGUUUCAAGUGGAUACCAGCAGCUGUUUUUUUUUUUUUUUUUUUUUUUGGUAAAGUUCCAGCAACAUACUCAGUGUAGCCUUACAUCUUGUAGAAGAGGACAAAAAUUGCAUCUGCCAGGCACAACUCUCUGAGAGUCCUACCCGAACCUAGUGCAGCCUUCAGAAACAUUGAAGCCUUGGAUCCAAAAGCAGCCUGCCAAACCUCAUUUCAUCACGGAGAAUCCGGAACCUGGGCCACAGUUUGCCCUCCACCAGGCAAAGGGCUCCUCUCAAAGCCAAAUCAAUAUUCUGCUUCAUGUCUGGAUUCCAAACCUCGAAGAUCACCAACAUCACUUGGGAGAGAGGAAGGCUACACAUUCAGACUUCCAUCCUGGAUCCUCUGAAUUCCCAGUCUGGGCCGGGAAAUGUAUUCUGAGAAAGGAGUUACUGGAUUUUUUUUUUUUUUUUUUUGUAAUAUCCACCUAAGAAAGGAAUCUGUGUAUUUAGCAGAUUCUGGUACUAUAAUAGACUGUCUGGUGCAAGAAUUUAGCUGAAUAUCUUAGCCAUUGUAAGGGAAAAAUUGGGAUCUGCUGCAGAUUGGUUCUUAGCUCCCCCACGAUCCAAUCUGGCUCUGCAGGAUAUACCUCAACUUUGGAGGCCCAACAGAUUCCUACAGUCUGAGAGGUAACCUAAAGUACUAAACACACGGCAUGUGUUUAGUACUUUUAGAGACUUUGAAGGCAUGCCAGGACACCUCCGUCUUCUAUACACAAAGCAGAGGCUUUCUCCCAUUACCAGUCCACAUUGUUUGUAUGGAAAACUCACCACUAUCAUACCACACUCACUCAUGUGCCCACCUCCCUCGUCUCUGUCUCAGUGACCUCUGGAUCCCACUGGAUCCCAGAAUGAAUGAGCUCUCAAACAGCACCCAAGAAACCCCAGGUUCUCCAAGAUAUAUGUGUGAAUUACAUUUUCACCAUCAGAAUAAAGCAGAUCAUCGUGCUCCCAUAUGUCCAUUGCUGACUUAAAAUGUUAUUUUACUGUGUGAGCAUGAAUGUCACAUAUAUGUAUAUACACACACGCAGAAAUCAGAAGUCAAAAUUGUGGAGUUGGUUCUCUCCUUCUACCUUUAUGUUGGUCCUGGAUUGAACUCAGGUCUCCAGAUACCUGUAUCCACUGAGCCAUCUUGUUGGCUUCCCAUUGUUAACCUACAAACUCUGAAACACACUCCCCACUCCCAGCCCCACCCCCAAGCGUGCGCGCUUGUGCGCGCGUGCACGCGCAUACACACACACACACACACCCUUGCCCUGUCUGCUCAGGCCCUCGAGCUCCCUAGCAUAGACUAGGAGGUUGAGUGUGAUGGGCUGCAGCUGUUGGCAUGACUGCUUUUACUUAUUAUUUUUAACAUGGUAUUCAUUUCCUAGAAAUGACACAAUAAGCAAAUAAACACCAGCUACAUUACCAUUUUCCAAUUCUUCAGAGUCCAGUGUGAUGAAACACGGAAAUUUCAGCUGCCCUCUUCUAGCCCUCUUUUCUCCCCCUCUCCAAAGCCCCAAACUAAUCAAGAAUACCAGGCACCUACCAAAUGCCCACCUCCCUUCAUAAGAUCCUAAAUUCAGUUCUUCCCUUGACUCCCAGAGCAAGCUCAACCAAGACAAAAGAACUGAAACAAAGCAGGUCACACCAUGUGUGUGCACCACACACACACACACACACACACACACACACACACACACACACACACCUGUUUUUGGAUGGUUUUCCUGCUGCCACUGGCCUCUUACAAGCCUGGUUACUUGAUUCAAGCUACUGGAAAAUCUUGAUGAUUAAAAGAAAACUUUCCCCCUAGCCUUGCAGGCUUUCAGGAUUUGUGUCAAGUAGAGAUUCCUCAUUCUGUAGCUCAAGCUCUGGCAAAUGAUAACAAACCACAAUCUGCUAGAGUCUGCCUGUGCAUCAAGACCUUCAUAAUCCUAUUCACAGAACCAAAUGGAGGGAGGGACCUAUAGUCAUGGAAGCUGCCAAAAUGCUGUGUCUCCUUGGCUCUCUAGCACUGGUAGUUAUCACCCUUAGCUGUCCCCUUUCUCCAUGGCUUAAUAUGAUUGAAGCUUUCUAAACUGAAUAUAUGCUUUAUAGGUAGGAAUGGCAGUUUGCCUUUUCAGUAUCAGUGUCUUGUAUUACUUUGUCUGACUAUAGAGCUCUGUGUGCACUGAAGGCUGGAUGGGUUGGUGAAAGAGUCUCCCCUUUAAAGAAGAGAAGCAAACAAGUUUCUUUAGUGCAGUGUACAGAGAGCAGAGGCCAUGAGAGUAAUAUAACAGCCUGUUUGUGGUGCUGGGCUAUGGAAGAAGCUCUGUUUUCCAGGAGCCCUCAUUUGGUAAUGGUGAGCAUUGCAAAGUUCCCGCCACACAGCUGGAGGAAGCUGUCCUAACGGGUUGUACGGAAUAGAAUGUCUUUUCUGUUCUGCGGACACUUUCUGGGCCAGGUUUUAAUUAAUCUCUUUCUGGUCUCUCAACCAUGCCUUUCCCUCUACACUAUUUUAAAAGUUUGGAAACCACUUCUCCAUGCUCCACAGGUGUAAGUCACAGAUGAGAACACUGAGGUUAUAGGACAGGUGACCUACAUGAGUCGACUCCUACAUCUUUCUCCAGGUAGAAUCAAGUCCUUCACCAUAUUAGUUUCUUUCCUGCCCAAGUUUCUGGCUACAUUCCAAUGGCCCAACUUUGGGUCAAGAAUUUACUGUGGAUGUCCCGGGCCGUCUCAUUCUUCCCAUUUACGCAGCAUGAAAACCCAGGGAACCCCUCUAAAUAAUGUUCUACUCAGAGAACUGCAGCGAUCACUCCUACAAACCUUCAGCAAAGACUGCCCUGGGGCUCCUUUGUUAAAAUCUAGACAUUAUGACUGGAAACCAAAAAAGGAUAAAGCAAUAGAAAGGAAAGUAAGGCUGGGACAUCCGCACAGAAACAUUGAGGAAUGCACUACCUCUUGGGACCUCUAACCAAAUAAAUAUACCUUGUUCAUUGCAUCAGAUUCAGCACCAUCUGGUUAAAGCCCCAGGAAGAAUCCCAUUACAGAGGCACACUCUGGUGACAAUCACUUCCCUGACCUGGAGCAAAGCUGGCUAGCUGUGACCCUUUGGCCUCUGCUCUUUAACCUUAUCCAGGGAAGGAAUGGGGUAGGACAUGGAUUCCUUGAGUCACAUAGGAGGCGGCUAGACUUGAGCAGAGAACAAGGCAGAGGCUGUGGAACAAGAUGAUUAGGACUAGGUUGACAAAGCUUCAUGCAUGUGUGGCUUUGGAGAAGGUAAUUUUUAGUUCUGUCAAGUUAGCAUAGUCUAAAAUCACCUGAGAAAAUAAUAUCUAUUGAGUGGGUUGCCCAGGUCAGAUUGCUCAGUGUACAUGUCUCUGGAGAACUGUCUCGAUUGCUAAUGUAGGAAAGCCCAGCUGGGCGUUGGUGGUACACACCUUUAAUCCUAGCACUUGGGAGGCAGAGGCAGGCGGUUCUCUGUGAGUUCGAGGCCAGCCUGGUCUCCAGAGUGAGUGCCAGGAUAGGCUCCAAAGCUACACAGAGAAACCCUAUUUCAGGGGGGAGGAGGGGAAGGAAAGCCCAGUCCACCAUGGGUGGUGGUACCACUCCCUGGGUCCUUGGUUCUAGGCUAUAUGGCAAGGCUAGCUAAACAUGGACCUCUUAACCAGCCAGCAGGCAGCAUCCCACCAUGGUUUCUGCCUUCAGUAGCUACUUGUGUACCUGUCUUCACUUCCCUCCAUGGUGGAUUUUGACAUGGAAGUGUAAGCCACAUAAACCCUUUCACUCCUAAGUUGCUUUGGAGCAACAAAAUGAACUAUGAGAGGCCAAUCUGAGGCAGCAGGCUGUUUCCACCACAUGUCCGAGAAAAAUGAGCAGGGAUAGAGACUGGAAAAUGAGGGAGGCUCUUGACACACAGUCAGCUACACCUGCUUCAGUGUAUCAUGUGGUCCAUGGGACAGGUUUGACACUUGUGUUUCAGAAUUAAACUGUUUCCCCAGGGCUCCAUGUUACCCUCCAGAAGAAUAAAGUCAUUUCCAGUGCUGGACCUUACCUGGGCCCUUGAUGAAGCAAAGGCUAAGACUCAGUCCCCAAGAAUAUAUCAGAGAUUUGGGGACAGAGAAUGUUCACAGUUCUAAUUACCAGAAUGUAACCAUCUAUGAACAUUUCCCGAGUACACACUGUGACUGAGAAGUAGACUGCAGGUUUUAAAGAUAGUAGUUCUUCUAUCCUCUUAAUAGCCUGAUGAGGAGUUCAAUGAAGAUGUUCCCUCAAAAAUUCAUGUUGAAACCUAACAUCCAGUGCAUUGAGAGGCAUGGUCUUCCAGGAUGAUAGUCAUAAGAGCUCCAACAUUGUGCAUGGGAUUAACUGCUCUUAAGAAACUGUGAUUGAAGGAUUCCAGUCCCUUCUUGUCCCUUCUGGCUUGGGAGAGAUCAGGGAUCAGGCAACACUUGAGAAGCUGAGACCGGGCUUUCUCCAGGCCAAGUUUCUACACAUGAUGAAGUAUGUGCUGUCUUGAGUGUUCUGUUCAGCAGCACCAAUGAGGAGGCGCUAUUACUGUCUAACAUUUGCCAGGGACCAGGAAGACUGAACUUGGCCAGCACAGCAUUGGAACUUUAAAAUAACUUCCGGUUGGAGAAAUAGCCCAGUACUUAAAGUGCUGGCUGUUUAGGUUCAGUUCCUAGCACCCAAAACUGUCUGUAAUUCCAGUUCUGAGGGAUUUAGGCCCUCUUCAGGCAAUGUCUGCACAUGGGGCACAUG